rnacentral:snRNA from 1 species
GUUCUUGCUUCAGCAACGCAUAUGCUAAAAUUGGAACAAUACAGAGAAGAUUAGCACGGCCCCUGUGCAAGGAUCACAUGCAAAUUCGUGAAGAAUUCCAUAUAAAU